UACGUAGGUGGCAAGCGUUGUCCGGAUUUAUUGGGCGUAAAGCGCGCGCAGGUGGUUCGUUGCGUCCGAGGUGAAAUCUCCCGGCUCAACUGGGAGGGGUCUUCGGAUACGGGCGGACUUGAGGAGAGCAGAGGUAGGCGGAAUGCUGGGUGUAGUGGUGAAAUGCGUAGAUAUCCAGCGGAACACCAGUGGCGAAGGCGGCCUACUGGGCUCCACCUGACACUGAGGCGCGAAAGCGUGGGAGCGAACCGG
rnacentral:rRNA from 1 species